rnacentral:rRNA from 1 species
GACGAACGCUGGCGGCGUGCUUAACACAUGCAAGUCGAACGGAAAGGCCCUGCCUUUGUGCGGUGCUCGAGUGGCGAACGGGUGAGUAACACGUGAGUAACCUGCCCUUGACUUUGGGUUAACUUCAGGAAACUGGGGCUCAUACCGGGUAGGAGCUCCUGGUGCAUGGUGGGGGUUGGAAAGUUUCGGCGGUUGGGGAUGGACUCGCGGCUUAUCAGCUUGUUGGUUGGGUAGUGGCUUACCAAGGCUUUGAAGGGUAGCCGGCCUGAGAGGGGGACCGGCCACACUGGGACUGAGAUACGGCCCAGACUCCUACGGGAGGCAGCAGUGGGGAAUAUUGCACAAUGGGCGGAAGCCUGAUGCAGCAACGCCGCGUGCGGGAUGACGGCCUUCGGGUUGUAAACCGAUUUCGCCUGUGACGAAGCGUGAGUGACGGUAAUGGGUAAAGAAGCACCGGCUAACUACGUG